UACAGAGGGGGCGAGCGUUGUUCGGAAUUACUGGGCGUAAAGCGCACGUAGGCGGUGCCGUAAGUCGGAUGUGAAAUCCCUCGGCCUAACCGAGGAACUGCGUCCGAUACUGCGGUGCUUGAGGAUCAGAGGGGUGCAUGGAAUUUCCGGUGGAGCGGUGAAAUGCGUCGAUAUCGGAAGGAACUCCGGCGGCGAAAGCGAUGCACUGGCUGAUUUCUGACGCUGAGGUGCGAAAGCCAGGGGAGCAAACGGG
rnacentral:rRNA from 1 species